rnacentral:rRNA from 1 species
GACGAACGCUGGCGGCGUGCCUAAAACAUGCAAGUCGAACGGUGUAGCAAUACACAGUGGCGAACGGCGGAGUAAUACAUAAGCAACGUGCCCUGAAGACUGGGAUAGUCAGAGGAAACUCUGGGUAAUACCAGAUGUGGCCCCUUUCCGGCAUCGGAGAGUGGUUAAACGGUUUUCGCUUCAGGAGCGGCUUAUGGCCUAUCAGGUAGUUGGUGAGGUAACGGCUCACCAAGCCGACGACGGGUAGCGGGUCUGAGAGGAUGAUCCGCUCGAGUGGGACUGAGACACGGCCCACACACCUACGGGUGGCAGCAGUUGGGAAUCUUGCACAAUGGGGGAAACCCUGAUGCAGCGACGCCGCGUGGAGGAUGAAGGAUCUAGGUCUGU